GAGUUUGAUCCUGGCUCAGAACGAACGCUGGCGGCGUGCCUAACACAUGCAAGUCGAACGUGAUCCAGAGCUUGCUCUGGUGAAAGUGGCGCACGGGUGAGUAACGCGUGGAUAACCUACCCUGGUAUCCGGGAUAACAUUCCGAAAGGGGUGCUAAUACCGGAUAAGCCCACGGGCUCUUUGGAGCUUGCGGGAAAAGGUGGCCUCUAUUUAUAAGCUACUGUAUCAGGAUGGGUCCGCGUACCAUUAGCUAGUUGGCGGUGUAACGGACCACCAAGGCGACGAUGGUUAGCUGGUCUGAGAGGAUGAUCAGCCACACUGGAACUGAGACACGGUCCAGACUCCUACGGGAGGCAGCAGUGGGGAAUUUUGCGCAAUGGGGGAAACCCUGUCGCAGCAACGCCGCGUGAGUGAUGAAGGCCUUUGGGUCGUAAAGCUCUGUCAGAGGGGAAGAAAUGAUAUAGUGCUAAUACCACUUUAUCUUGACGGUACCCUCAAAGGAAGCACCGGCUAACUCCGUGCCAGCAGCCGCGGUAAUAC
rnacentral:rRNA from 1 species